GUGUCAGCCGCCGCGGUAAUACAGAGGGUGCGAGCGUUGUCCGGAAUCACUGGGCGUAAAGGGCGCGUAGGUGGCUCGCUAAGCGUGUGGUGAAAGCCUGGGGCUCAACCCCAGGUCUGCCGUGCGAACUGGCAAGCUUGAGCAUAGUAGAGGCGGGUGGAAUUUCGGGUGUAGCGGUGGAAUGCGUAGAUAUCCGAAAGAACACCGGUGGCGAAGGCGGCCCGCUGGGCUAUUGCUGACACUGAGGCGCGACAGCGUGGGGAGCAAACAGGAUUAGAUACCCUAGUAGUCC
rnacentral:rRNA from 1 species